rnacentral:lncRNA from 1 species
GUGGACUCCCAGAGGCUAAAGGAGUCAAGUGGAAAACAGUUUAGUCAGCCCCUAGGUGACCACAGUACAGCAUCUGGGAGAAGGUAUGCUGAUUCUCCUUCUAAGGCAGUUGAGAGAUAUUCUCUUUUUUUUCCCGGCUUUAUUGAAGUAUAAUUGGUUACAAAAAACUGUGCAUAAUAAAUGUAUACAUUUUGGUGAGUUUGGACAUAAGUAUACACUUUUGUUACCAUCACUGCAAUCUAGGUAACAAACAUCUAGCCAUCACCUCCAAAAGUUUCCUUAUGGCCCCCUGCCUUUUGUUUUCUUGUGGUAACAUGAGAUUUACCCUCUCAACAGAUUUUUAAGUACACAAUACUUUAUUGUCACUAUGGGCACUGUGUUGGACAGCAGAUCUCUGAAACUUACUUGUGUUACUACUGACUCACUGAUUGUCACAAUCUUUUGAAAUUGAGCCAUUGAUUGAUCAGCAGAAGGGGCAUGAAGCUUUGUGUGGAAACACUGGGUCUUCUAUGUCCUACACAUACACACACGCAUAAUUAAACUAGCUGUAGAAUAAUUGCCUUCAAAAGUUAAUCACUGACUAGAACCAGGAAGACAAUUCUUGGCUGCUUUCAAUACUAUCAACAUGCGCCUGUAGACAUCUGCAUAUACUCCCAUGAUUCCCUGGAGAAUUCACUGGGUGUGGAGGAAGAAACUGCUUCAAGCAGUGAUCUGACCCGUGACCAGAAAUCGGGCUCCAUCAAAGGACAAAGUUGCAGACACUCUGUCAGAUGCAAUCUCAGCUGUUCAGCAGGAAAAGCUACUAGAAGCAGGAGAGGGGCCACCUGCCUGGGUCCCUGGACUGUAUAUCUACCUGGCAGGUGUGAAACACCACCACCACCACUACCAACAACAACAACAAAGACUCAUGCUUACCCCAAAUCCAUCUGUCUCCUGUCUAAAAACACACCACCCAUGGAAACAUUAUUUGAGUUUUGUGAAGUUCUGAAAGCUGUGGUUAUAUAUAAACAGACACCAAUGGAGAAAGAUGGGUAUACAAAUGGCAGGUGAGGAGGAAAAGCUGGCAGAAAAGAAUCAGAGAGCAUUGGCUAACCAGAAAGAAUCCUGUAUAACAACUCUUAUUUACCUUUGGGUUCAGACUGGGAUACGCUGUUUAGGAAGUGGUCAUGUAUUUCCUACCUCUGUAAAUGAAAGAGCCGUAUAUCUGCAUGAAAAGACCAUAUGAAUAACUGAGUUCAAUGUGUUAUAAACUACCUCUUAUUGUUGGGGUGGGAAGGGGGCGAUGCAAACCCCUGCUAUGAACACCUGCUAUGUAAAAACUGCUUUACAUGGAUUAUGUCAUUUAACUUCCACUCAUCCCUGAGAGGUAAGUUCAGUAUUAAAUACCCAUUUAGGGGCCAGCCCCAUGGUGUAGUGGUUAAGUUCAUAUGCUCCACUUUGGUGGCCGGGGGUUCACCAGUUCAAAUCCCGGGCGUGGACCCACCCACCACUCAUCAAGCCAUGCUUUGGAGGUGUCCCACAGACAAAACAGGGGAAGAUUGGCGCAGAUGUUAGCUCAGGGCCAAUCUUCCUCACCAAAAAGAAAUUUAAAAAAAUCCAUUUAACAGUUUAUGAAUCUGAGGCUCAGAGAGGUUACAGAACUUGCCUAAAUUUAUACAUUGACAGAGCCAAGCUUUCAAAUCCAUUUUUUAUUGUAAGAGUAUAGAAUACCAGUCUGAUAUUUUUAAGACCAAAGAUAGAUGUCUAUUUUGAUGUUGAGUAGGUAUUUUGAGUACCUAGAAGAACUAUAACCACUAGCACGUGGGGUGUGGUUAGGAAAGACCACAUUGAGGAUGAAUGCUUUGCAAAUUAACUUUUAAAAAUAAGAAAUAUAUAAACCUGGAAAAAUUCAAACAGUAUGUAAAGUUACAAAAUGAAAAGUAAAAUCGCUUUUGUCUCCCUUCUAGAAGUGAAAUGGUUGGGUCAAUGAUUCAGAAUCUCUAGGGUCG